UAGCCUGAAAUGAUGUUACGAGUUCAUGUCUCUUCUCUGAAGAUGUGUCGUGGGGACAGCUAGAUGUGUUUCUGAUCAGGCUU
rnacentral:snoRNA from 1 species